GGGUAGGGCAGGCAGAGUAUGGCACACACAUGCAGCAUAGGGCAGCCAUCAGUUGGACAGCAUUGCCUUAGGCAAUACUGGCCUAGUGUAGGAACCACAGUGUAAAGAGAGUCAGAAUAUCCUUACCCUGAUGGCAGGGUUCAGCCUGUGGGUGAGAUUCCACCCUUUGAUGAGUUCUACUUUAUCUGAACAUUUUAGAGUGAGUAUGUUACUUUUGCCUUGUUGUACAGAAUACAGUAUUAUAGUAUCAGUUGCAUAAGGACUUUAAAGGAGAACUAAAGUUUUAAGUGGGGGAGCCAAAAUGUUAGGUACCACCCCCCCCCCACCCAGUGAUUAGAAUCACUUACCGGAUACCCUGGGCUGCUGCUCCUGUUUGCUAAAAAAAAUCCACCUGCCCAGGGUAUUUCUGCAGGAGAUCCUUGUCAACUUUAUUUUUGGAUUCUUCAGUGCGCCCCUGGAGAAAAGAAAAGAAAAAAGGAACAAAGAUUAUGCCAAAGAACUUCUGCAGAAAUACCCCGGGGCAGAGUAGAUUUCUGCUAAAAGGAGCUCCAGCCCAGUGUAUUAGGUAAGCUAUUACAAUCACUGGGGGUGCUUAACAUUUGAUACUAUAGUUCUCCUUUAAAGGAUAACUUGGCACAGCUGUUCUAUGUUGCAUAUUUACUGAAUAAUCUGCCAAAUUAUGUUUAAGCUACCUGUGAGUUAUAGUCAACUACAACACUCCUCCACCAUUCUAACAAAGGCCCGAGUUUGAGUCAUGUGCCGCCUCCUCUGGGAGUUGCACCUCCCCUGCUGGCAUACUUUGGGUUAAACACUGGGCAACAAAGCAUUACAAUGGUAAAAGCGGUUCUUUGGAAGUUCUAUGGAGUUUCUACAGAGGUCAGCUGAUUUCCAGUGGGUUGUGUUUGCAGAGUGCACCAAUACCAAAUCUUCCUCUCCCCCGUAUGAUAAGGCGUUCCCUCCAACAGCCAAAUCUGGAGCUACUGCGCGCCUUAUAUAAAUAUUUCUUAGUUUGUCACUUCAUCCGGACCACAUAACUCGCUUACAGACAUAAGCUCCCCUAUCCCAGCAUUCUGGGCCAGUACUACAUGUGCAAGUACUACAUAUCUUACUUGAUGUUUCACACACUUUGAAAUGGAAUGAGAAGGAGCGGCAAUCCUCCAGGCACAAGGGAAAGAAAUAAAAUCCACUUGAUCUUACGUCAAGAUCCCGGUACCCCUCAUUCAAGUUUGGGAAAUAACCAGGAAAAUCAGAAAAUACAAACACUACAUAGUGAAGAAGCUUUAAUCACAACAUAGCAACCGACUCCGUUUCCACUACGGGCAUUUGGGACAAAGAAAAACAAACAGAGGAAAUGGCUGAUCGCCUCAGGAAUGUAAGGAGAAUGUUUAUAGAAGGUGUGAGCGUGGCUGUGAUUAGAGGACUGCUGGACAGUCUUUAUCAUGAUGAUAUCAUUGGAGAUGGGGAGAAAGAAUUGGUUACCGAGAAUACAAAUGUUGUGCGGGAUCAAGCCCGAUGUCUGAUUGACAUGGUUAUAAAAAAAGGGAAUGUGGCAUCAAACAAAUUUAUACAGGCGCUUCAAGAAGAAGAUCCUACACUAUGUGCUAAUUUGGGCCUAAACCCAUAAACCUUAUGGGCACACUUUGAGUUCAUUUUAUUGCUGGGGAGGGCUUUAAGCUAAUGUAUCAGUGUAAGUCAGUGAUACUGGGGGAUCCAUUGUAGAGUUAAGGGAGAGUUGCCUUUUUUCAACCCAAAUGACUUAUGCAGCUAUCUGCACUCUUGCCAGGGCGAAGCAGGAAGGGCAUUUGCUCUGGGCCCCCGGCAUUAAAUGGGGCCCCUUGGAGGUAAAAACUUGCAUAAAAGAAAUCAAAUGGCAUAUAAUGCAUCAGAGAUACCCAAUCGGCAGCCCUUAUACAGCUGUUGAUACACUGCAACUUCCGUAGGCAAAGCUGAAAAGGUGGGGAUAAUAUUUCAAUAACAGCAAAAUGGUUGCAGGUUGGGUAUAAUUCAUUUCUGUACUCACCCUGCCUUCCAGAUGGGGGCAUUAGUCCCUGCAUUGUUUUAAAAGGAACCAACAUUGUAUAAUGUGGGAUAAUCCCUGAAUGUAAACAAUCAAAAUAAAGCCUCUGUUUUUACAUUGCC